AAGGGGAGUGGACAUUCAGGCAAAUAUUGAGGGGGCCCUCCUUUCAGACGAGGGAACGGGGGUUCCACGUUGGGGUCCCUGCCCGAGACUGACAUGCCCCUUGCCUGCCAGGCCUUCUCUGCCUUCGCUGAUCUGACCAUCAAGUCACUGGCGGACAUUGAGGAGGAGUACAACUACGGCUUCGUGGUGGAGAAGACGGCAGCUGCCCGCCUGCCCCCUAGCGUCUCUUAGCCCCUCACCGGCCCCAGGGAAGAGUCCCCUGCCUGACAGCCCCGGACCGGCAGCUGCCCACCGCAUUGAAUCUUGGGAGCCUUGGCGGCUCAAGGCAUUAUGGACCCUCAGCCACGCAGCGGAGCAGCAGCCCUGGAGGAGGGGCCGGGAGCGGUCUGCUUGGUGAUGGGUCUCCUGCCCCCCGGGCCGUGAUGGGCAAGGCAAGGGGGAGGGGCUGGACGGAAACCAGUGCCUUCAAGUCAUUUGUGUCAAAACUCUCUGGUGCCUGGAGGCCACGCGGGCGUCCUCCCUCCAGGAAAUAAAACACCACGCUGUCCGGG